rnacentral:rRNA from 1 species
UUUUUAAUCUGGUUGAUCCUGCCAGUAGUCAUACAUUUGUCUAAAAGAUUAAGCCAUGCAUGUCUAAGUACUUCGAUAGUCCUUCGUUAGAUUGCAGACGGCUCAUUAUAUCAGUUUUUAUAUGCUUGACAUUUUCUUAUAUGUGGAUAUCUGUGGAAAUUCUAGAGCUAAUACAUGCCACAAAUAAUAUUUAUAUUUUGAUAUAUUGAGCAUUUGUUUGUUUCAAACCAGAGUGAAUUAAUAUGAUGGAUGAGUCAUAAUAAUGCUUUAUCACAACGCGUUAUACGCGACAAAUCAUUCGAAUUUCUGACCUAUCAGUUAAUGAGUAGUAUAUAGGACUAUUUAGGCAUAAACAGGUAACGGAGAAUUAGGGUUCCAGUCCGGAGAAGGAGCCUGCGAGACAGCUACUACAUCUAAGGAAGGCAGCAGGCGCGUAAAUUACCCAUUUCUGAUCACGAGAGGUAGUGACAAGAAUUCACAACAUUUUGCCUUAGAAGUAAAUAAUUGUAUUGAGAACAAAGUACAUAUUUUAUCAAUAAACAAUUAGAGGGCAAGUCUGGUGCCAGCAGCCGCGGUAAUUCCAGCUCUAAUGGUGUAUGCUAACAUUGUUGCAGUUAAAAAGCUCGUAGUCGGAUAUUUUAGGGAGUCAAUAUUAUGUGAUCUUAAUGAACUACCAAAAAAUUGAUCAUGCCUAUUUUUCACAAUUUUGGAGUUGGACUUUAUUUUCCGAUCACGGAAUUAGUGUAUUUUUACUUUGAAGAAAAUUGUGUGUUUUAAGCAACCUUAUGGAUGUAUGCCAAAGCAUGGAAUGGUAGAUAAUGACAUUAGUUAAAUGGCUGAUGGUUUGAGAGAUUGAUGUAAUGAUUUAUAGAGUUUGUCGGAGAUAUUAGUAUUUUGUCGUUAGAGGUGAAAUUCUGGGAUCGACAAAAGAUUACCAAGUGCGGAAGCGUUUGCCUAGAAUUUCCUCUUUGAUCAAGAACUCAAGUUGAGGGAUCGAAGACGAUCAGAUACCGUCGUAGUCUCAACUGUAAACUAUAUUAGCUAGGUGUUGGCAAAUGCUUAAAUGUCUUUGUCAGAUCCUUGGGAGAAAUUAUAGCAUUUGGGUUCCGGGGGGAGUAUGGUCGCAAGGUUGAAACUUAAAGGAAUUGACGGAAGGGCACCACAAGAUGUGGAUCCUGUGGCUUAAUUUGACUCAACACUGGAAAAUUUACCAGGUCCGGACAUAGCUAAGAUUGGUAGAUUAAUAAUUCUUCCUUGAUUUUAUGGGUGGUGGUGCAUGGUCGUUCUUAGUUGGUGGAGUGAUUUGUCUGGUUAAUUCCGUUAACGAACGAGACUAUUACUUACUAAAUAGUAAAAUCAUUCAUGUAGGAUUAUAGCUUCUUAGAGGGACUGGCUUUUCAUAAAUCGCUGGAAGUUGGUAGCAAUAACAGGUCUGUGAUGCCCUUAGAUGUCCUGGGCGGCGCACGGGCUACAAUAGGAGAGUAAUUGAGCUUGUUCUACUUAGCACGGAGAGCGCUAUGAAAUCUUUAAACCAUUCUUUAUUUGUGAUCGCGCUUUGAAAUUUUAAUAUGUAAACUAGGAAUACCUAGUAAGUGUUUGUCAUCAAUGUGCACUGAAUACGUCCCUGCCCUUUGUACACACCGCCCGUCGCUCCUACCGAUUGGAUGUGUUGAUGAGUAAAUAGGAGAAAUGACGUUUUUCAUAGAUAGAACAAAGUAUAAUUCUUAACAUUCGCAAAUUAGAUUAUCUAGAGGAAGGAGAAGUCGUAACAAGGUUUCCGUAGGUGAACCUGCGGAAGGAUCAUUAUUGAC